rnacentral:rRNA from 1 species
UAGGGAAUCUUCGGCAAUGGGGGGAACCCUGACCGAGCAACGCCGCGUGAGUGAAGAAGGUUUUCGGAUCGUAAAGCUCUGUUGUUAAGGAAGAACGAGUGUGAGAAUGGAAAGUUCAUACUGUGACGGUACUUAACCAGAAAGGGACGGCUAACUACGUGCCAGCAGCCGCGGUAAUACGUAGGUCCCGAGCGUUGUCCGGAUUUAUUGGGCGUAAAGCGAGCGCAGGCGGUUAGAUAAGUCUGAAGUUAAAGGCAGUGGCUCAACCAUUGUAGGCUUUGGAAACUGUUUAACUUGAGUGCAGAAGGGGAGAGUGGAAUUCCAUGUGUAGCGGUGAAAUGCGUAGAUAUAUGGAGGAACACCGGUGGCGAAAGCGGCUCUCUGGUCUGUAGCUGACGCUGAGGCUCGAAAGCGUGGGGAGCGAACAGG